rnacentral:rRNA from 1 species
ACGGGUGAGUAACGCGUGGGAAUCUACCGUGCCCUGCGGAAUAGCUCCGGGAAACUGGAAUUAAUACCGCAUACGCCCUACGGGGGAAAGAUUUAUCGGGGUAUGAUGAGCCCGCGUUGGAUUAGCUGGUUGGUGGGGUAAAGGCCUACCAAGGCGACGAUCCAUAGCUGGUCUGAGAGGAUGAUCAGCCACAUUGGGACUGAGACACGGCCCAAACUCCUACGGGAGGCAGCAGUGGGGAAUAUUGGACAAUGGGCGCAAGCCUGAUCCAGCCAUGCCGCGUGAGUGAUGAAGGCCUUAGGGUUGUAAAGCUCUUUCACCGGAGAAGAUAAUGACGGUAUCCGGAGAAGAAGCCCCGGCUAACUUCGUGCCAGCAGCCGCGGUAAUACGAAGGGGGCUAGCGUUGUUCGGAAUUACUGGGCGUAAAGCGCACGUAGGCGGAUAUUUAAGUCAGGGGUGAAAUCCCAGAGCUCAACUCUGGAACUGCCUUUGAUACUGGGUAUCUUGAGUAUGGAAGAGGUAAGUGGAAUUCCGAGUGUAGAGGUGAAAUUCGUAGA